GCUCUUUUCUGAGGAAUAUUAUGCACUGAACCGCAGAGAAACACUCCCAGGGCUCCACGAUCCCCGCCUCCCCCCGCCAGGGACCCAGGGCUCUGAAGAGGGGAUCCCCGGUGUUUACAGAAUGGUGCUGGUGGCGCUGGAGGGAGAAAACACAGGCUGGGAUCACAGGUGCAGAGGUGCAGGGUCAAAGGGCGACUGAACCAAAUGAACGAAUGAGAUUCACAGGAAAGCAAGGAAACACAUGCUCUGAUACUUCCAAAAUAAGUCCUACAAAGGAGCCCGAUGGCAAAAGCUGCGCUGGGCAGCAG
rnacentral:lncRNA from 1 species